GUUCAGAGGGAGUCAGAAGAGAGAGGACUCCUCAGCAAUCUGGGAUGUGGUGCUUUCCUACAAGAAGCAGUGGGAUCUGUGCUCCUGCUCCGCUCCCAUUCCUUCUCACCUCGCUGCUGACAGUCGCUAUCUCAGCCUGGAGCCUUAUACAUUCUGUAGACUCUGGGGAUGAAACUAGACUCAUUUCCACCGGGUCCUGCUGGAAUUCUUUGAACCCUGAAGAACAGCAAUGAGGAGACAGAUAGCCAAGCUUUCCUUACCUGUGAGCAUGGAUCUGAAGAAAGGCACGAUAGCAGAUAAGAUGCGCUGACAGACGGGACGGCCCCGAUGGCAAAUUGCCCAUCAGGU